AGACACUGAAUGUCAUGACAACAACAUAGCUGGGAAUAUGUUUGAAUCUAUUCAUUUCUAAAAACUAUACCCUUAUUACACACAUUGGACACAGUUUCUUUUUUUAAUGAUUUUAUUCAUUGUUAGUGGGAUAUAGAUAAAUAUGUAGACCACUGUUUAUUUAUGAUGCUCCUCUUGCUUGAUCGCAGUGGGAAUCGAACCCACAACUUUUGGUUUUCUUACCGACUUGACACCAUGCAUGUAUGGCCCAGUUGGUAGAGCAUUGGACUAGCAAACUGA